UCCCUACGGGGGGCAGCAGGCGCGAAAACUUUACAAUGCGGGAAACCGUGAUAAGGGGACCCCGAGUGCCAGCAUCAUAUGCUGGCUGUCCGGAUGUGUAAAAUACAUCCGUUAGCAAGGGCCGGGCAAGACCGGUGCCAGCCGCCGCGGUAACACCGGCGGCCCGAGUGGUGAUCGUGAUUAUUGGGUCUAAAGGGUCCGUAGCCGGUUUGGUCAGUCCUCCGGGAAAUCUGAUAGCUUAACUAUUAGGCUUUCGGGGGAUACUGCCAGACUUGGAACCGGGAGAGGUAAAAGGUACUACAGGGGUAGGAGUGAAUCCUUGUA
rnacentral:rRNA from 1 species